rnacentral:rRNA from 1 species
AUGGCCAUUCGCUUUCUCGUCGUCGCAGAAAUGCUCGUCGUCUCCCUUUCUCCGAGCUCACCCCUCUCCUUCCUUCCUGUCCCGAACCCCCGCCCUUUUGUCGUCUUCCCUCUUCGCCGCUGCUGCCUCCACAAACACCACAAGCGCCGGCAAUGCCGCGGUGGCAGUGGCCUACCACUCCACCUCCUCCACGCCGUCGCAAGGAGGCGAAUGGGCAUCGUGAUCGACGUCGACGAGGUGAAUGAUAUCGGCGACCGUGACCUCCCCGUGGACGUGUCAUUCACUCGGAGGCUCCCGCCGGCGCUCACCCUCGUUGACGGCAUUGCCGCACUGCGGCGGGCCGCCGAGGAGGUGAAGGCCAGCCCGCCUGCCGCCGGGAGCGGCGUGAUCCGGUUCGAGGUACUUGUUCCACCCAGUACGAAGGCACUCAAAUGGUUAUGCUCUCAGUUUAGGAGAUCAUCAUUGUUCCCUCAGUUCUAUCUAUCAAGGAAGCUAAGCUCCAAUCCGUCAGUUCAACUUGAAAUAUCUGGUGUUGGUUCUGCACUUUGCUUGUAUGGUUCCUCUUCUCAAGUAAAAGAUGGAUAUGAUAUGAUAUCAAGAUAUAUUUCAUUUGAUUCAGAUUUGAUGGGAGCUUAUGGAGCAGUUGGCAUGAAGUAUAAUGAGGAAUUAUUGUCAAUAGAGGAGAAAGCUGGUUCAUUUUACUUCUUUAUUCCUCAGGGUGCAUGA